ACACCGGCAGCUCAAGUGGUAGCCGCUUUUAUUGGGCCUAAAGCGUCCGUAGCCGGUCUGAUAAGUCUCUGGUGAAAUCCCACAGCUUAACUGUGGGAAUUGCUGGAGAUACUAUCAUGACUCGAGGUCGGGAGAGGCUGGAGGUACUCCCAGGGUAGGGGUGAAAUCCUGUAAUCCUGGGAGGACCACCUGUGGCGAAGGCGUCCAGCGGGAACGAACCUGACGGUGAGGGACGAAAGCCAGGGGCGCGAACCGGAUUAGAUACCCGGGUAGUCCUGGCCGUAAACGAUGUGGACUUGGUGUUGGGAUGGCUUCGAGCUGCCCCAGUGCCGAAGGGAAGCUGUUAAGUCCACCGCCUGGGAAGUACGGCCGCAAGGCUGAAACUUAAAGGAAUUGGCGGGG
rnacentral:rRNA from 1 species